rnacentral:rRNA from 1 species
GACAGAGGGUGCAAACGUUGUUCGGAAUUACUGGGCGUAAAGCGCGUGUAGGCGGCUAUGCAAGUCGGAUGUGAAAGCCCUCGGCUCAGCCGGGGAAGUGCACCCGAAACUGCAAAGCUAGAGUCUCGGAGAGGAUCGUGGAAUUCUCGGUGUAGAGGUGAAAUUCGUAGAUAUCGAGAGGAACACCGGUGGCGAAGGCGGCGAUCUGGACGGUGACUGACGCUGAGACGCGAAAGCGUGGGGAGCAAACAGG